rnacentral:rRNA from 1 species
CGCGUGUCGGGGACAUUGCUUGGUGGGUAGUUUGACUGGGGUGGUCGCCUCCAAAAGGAUAACGGAGGCUUCCAAAGGUUCCCUCAGUACGCUUGGUAACCGUACGUGGAGUGCAAUAGCAUAAGGGAGCUUGACUGUAAGGCCGACAAGCCGAGCAGGGUGGAAACACGGGUAUAGUGAUCCGGCGGUUCUGAAUGGAAGGGCCGUCGCUCAAAGGAUAAAAGGUACGCUGGGGAUAACAGGCUGAUCUCCCCC